UCUCAUCGGGAUAGCAGCUGCAACUCAUCGCUUAUUGCCUGACGGUCCAGUCCUGACGCUGUUUGGAUUGUAUUUUCACUGCAAUACGGCGAAUAAAGGAUCAGCAGUCUUCAACAUCUCUUGUCUUGGUGUUCUCCUGCGGGUCUUUGACAUCAGAGUGCUAAUUGGGUUGGAGCCCACACUACUAAAUUUGGAGGCAGUAACCUGAAGGGGGAGGAGAAGCUGCCACUGCUCGGAACCCGGAGUAUGCAGCACAAUAAAACGCCCGGCAGCAGCAGUAGGAGGAGGGGAGGAGGAGGAGCAGCAGCACAUCAAGUCAUCGGCAGGAACUCCCAAAUUAAAUUAAUUUAAA